rnacentral:rRNA from 1 species
CCUACGGGGGGCAGCAGUGAGGAAUAUUGGUCAAUGGGCGCGAGCCUGAACCAGCCAAGUCGCGUGAGGGAAGACGGUCCUAUGGAUUGUAAACCUCUUUUGUCGGGGAGCAAAAGACGCCACGCGUGGCGUUCCGAGAGUACCCGAAGAAAAAGCAUCGGCUAACUCCGUGCCAGCAGCCGCGGUCAUACGGAGGAUGCGAGCGUUAUCCGGAUUUAUUGGGGUUAAAGGGUGCGCAGGCGGAAGAUCAAGUCAGCGGUAAAAUUGAGAGGCUCAACCUCUUCGAGCCGUUGAAACUGGUUUUCUGGAGUGAGCGAGAAGUAUGCGGAAUGCGGGGUGUAGCGGUGAAAUGAAUAGAUAUCACGCAGAACUCCGAUUGCGAAGGCAGCAUACCGGCGCUCAACUGACGCUCAUGCACGAAAGUGUGGGUAUCGAACAGGAUCAGAUACCCGUGUAGUC